rnacentral:lncRNA from 1 species
CUGGCAACGGCUGACAAUUAAAGGCAGCGGAUUGGACAGUGGGGAGGACACAGAAUUCCAAGGAGCCCCUCCCUUCCAGCUGCCAGGGCUGUGCUCAUACACGAGCCCCCCCCCCCCCAGGGGCUUCAGAAAGUCCCCACCGUCAUAUGAGGACCUCCCACUCACUCAUCCACCACCCCCAAAGCCUGUGCACCCUCGGGCUCAUCCCAACAACCACUUUCCCCCAAAAAUUCACUGGGGACUGGAACAAAACACGGCCCAUCAGAAGCUGUUACUGGACACCACUGAUAGACACGUGGUAGCUAACCGAGAGCUGCUGACCGGCUGAAUCCCAUGAGCACAACGCGCACCUGUACUUUCUCAGCACCCAUCCCCACCUAGGUAUCAUGAGCCUGCACCUUCUGCAGAGAUGCUCUGCUCACAUGGCCAACACUUUCCAGGUUAGUGGUCAGACUUCCUGAUUCGGGGGGCAACAGGUGUGAUCCUGGACCACAGAGCAUCCAUGUCCAAGGGAAGGACAGGGGACUGGAUCAACACUGGAGAAGGAGGCCACC